rnacentral:rRNA from 1 species
UACGUAGGGUGCGAGCGUUGUCCGGAAUUAUUGGGCGUAAAGAGCUCGUAGGCGGUGUGUCACGUCGGCCGUGAAAACCUGCAGCUUAACUGUGGGCGUGCGGUCGAUACGGGCAUCACUGGAGUUCGGCAGGGGAGACUGGAAUUCCUGGUGUAGCGGUGAAAUGCGCAGAUAUCAGGAGGAACACCGAUGGCGAAGGCAGGUCUCUGGGCCGAUACUGACGCUGAGGCGCGAAAGCCAGGGGAGCAAACGGG